rnacentral:rRNA from 1 species
GACGAACGCUGGCGGCGUGCUUAACACAUGCAAGUCGAACGGAAAGGCCCUGCUUUUGUGGGGUGCUCGAGUGGCGAACGGGUGAGUAACACGUGAGUAACCUGCCCUUGACUUUGGGAUAACUUCAGGAAACGGGGGCUAAUACCGGAUAGGAGAUCCUGCUGCAUGGUGGGGAUUGGAAAGUCUCGGCGGUGGGGGAUGGACUCGCGGCUUAUCAGCUUGUUGGUGGGGUAGUGGCUUACCAAGGCUUUGACGGGUAGCCGGCCUGAGAGGGUGACCGGCCACAUUGGGACUGAGAUACGGCCCAGACUCCUACGGGAGGCAGCAGUGGGGAAUAUUGCACAAUGGGCGGAAGCCUGAUGCAGCAACGCCGCGUGCGGGAUGACGGCCUUCGGGUUGUAAACCGCUUUCGCCUGUGACGAAGCGUGAGUGACGGUAAUGGGUAAAGAAGCACCGGCUAACUACGUG